AUUGCUCCUCUUGGAGUUUUUCUCUAUAAGCCUGAGAUACAGAUUUUACUCCUUACAGAUCUAUAGAUGGACACAAAUGGAGUCAUUGGAGGCUUGGCACUGCACCGGUGUUCUCUACCACAAAAGCUUCCACUUGGAGCAGCAGUUGGCAUCUCUUUAACCAGGACGUUCCCUCCCCUUGGAGUCACAGUCUUGUCUGGAGCCUGAGCUCUGAGUGAAGGAUUCACAGAUAGAAAAGGAGACCCUGAACUCCUAGGAGGAGGCGAUAAGAAGGCAGAUUUCAGAUAUGGAGUUUGACAAGUGGAGCACAGCCCCAGGUGCCUGAAUGUCACUGUUCUUUGCUGUUACAAAGUCCAUUGGCAGUGUGGCUUUUCUUCCCUUUCUUCAUCUUGUGUUGUCCACAAAAGGUGAUUAUCCAUCUUCUCUGUAGAGCUUAGUCUCAUUGCAGAGAGAAGACAAACCUAUUUUGGUGAACUUGGGUGUUUCCCUAAACAAGAUAGCUUGUCUUUGCAGCGUUAGUUAAAAUUCAGACAUAAAACUGGGGACAAGUGUAUGUGGAGAAACACACAGCUGAACCAUUAUCAUGGGAUCUGAUACCUCAAAGAGUCGUCUGUUUUUGCUGUGCUCCUG